GGAUGUAAAGGUGUUAGAGAACACAGCCUGAGCAUGCAAAUCACUUUGGACUCCAGGGACCUUCCCUUUGCUGGCCUUGGCACACAGGUGACUGCAUGGAACCCUGGCCAGAGAAACAGGACAAGAAAGGGUAAAA